AGUGAACGCUGGCGGCGUGCUUAACACAUGCAAGUCGAACGAGAACGGAUUAUAGCUUGCUAUAAUUGUCAGCUAAGUGGCGCACGGGUGAGUAAUGUAUAGGUAAUAUGCCUCUUACUAAGGGAUAACAAAUGGAAACGUUUGCUAAUACCUUAUACUCCUUAUUAACAUAAGUUAAUAUGGGAAAGAUUUAUUGGUAAGAGAUUAGCCUGUAUUGUAUCAGUUAGUUGGUGGGGUAAUGGCUUACCAAGACUAUGACACAUAACUGGUUUGAGAGGAUGAUCAGUCACACUGGAACUGAGACACGGUCCAGACUCCUACGGGAGGCAGCAGUGGGGAAUAUUGCACAAUGGACGAAAGUCUGAUGCAGCAACGCCGCGUGGAGGAUGACACAUUUCGGUGCGUAAACUCCUUUUAUAUGAGAAGAUAAUGACGGUAUUAUAUGAAUAAGCACCGGCUAACUCCGUGCCAGCAGCCGCGGUAA
rnacentral:rRNA from 1 species